rnacentral:lncRNA from 1 species
CAUCCGAAGUCAUGUUUUCCCCAAGAGAAGCGAUUGAUUAUAUGUGAUUAAUGCCUUCCAGUACUGCAGUAGAUUCUGAUGAUAUUCCCGUGAACCAAUCGCGAGCAAGCAAGAAACCAGCCAGAUACAGCGAUGAUAAAUUGAAGGUGAGUGCUCUGAGUCAGUGAAAUAUGCAUGCACUCGUCGUGUUUACAGUCACACUGGAUAAGUUGAAGAGCUAGUAUAGAGGUUGGUUUUGAGCAUCAAAAUUUGGACGGUGGCCGGAGGAUGAGGAUCGAUGGAUGGGAGGCCUACGAUGAGGCUAACAAGAAGUGGUAGCUUGGCCUAAGCUUGAAAUGACCCAAUAUGCACUCUUCGUGUUCAGUCACACUGGAUAAUGUGAAGAGGGUGGUUUUGAGCAGCAAGGUUCGGCAGGUGGCAGGAGGAUGAAGAUCGAUGGAUAGGAGGCGUACGAUGAGGCUACAAAGAAGUGGUACUCUGUUGCCUUGCUUGAAAGGACCCCAAUUCAUUGCGAGAAGAUCGAAGGGGGCCGGACACAAAUCAGCUGAAUUUUGGCAGGCUCUGAGAGUAAAGAUGGAGGGAAUCAAAUAUAAGGCUAAAAACGUGUUAAUCUUCUUCAGAAUACACAAAGUAGAUUACGACUAAACUUGGCAGGAGUCAUCCCUUAAAACUAAGUAAGGGGAUCUUAAUUUGUUCAAGUGGGGGGGGGGGGGGGGGGGGGGGGGGGUGCACCAGGGGGGCCCAGAAAAACAAAAAAGCCAAAUCAACAUUGUCUUCUUGAAAAAGCAUAAUUGUGUGGGAACAGUAUCUCAAUUUACUGAAAAAAAUUACCAAAGUGCCCAGCUUGCAUGCUCAGGUAAGCACAAGACUCACAGGUCUCUAGUCUAUUACUUUUUUGCUUUUCAUCUUUAAGUGUUUGUGUAUUGGAGGGGGGGGGGGGGUAAAGUAUAGUGUCCAUCAAUGUUAUUUAUUGUUUUUGUUUAUCAACUGCCAAACAAUAGCUGCCUUCUGCAUCAGUGUGUUAAUAGGUGUACUUUUCAUAUGUUUAAUUAUAUUCAGGGCAAAUAUUAACCUUGCCUUUCAGUAGCCAUAUUACUUGUAUAGUGAUGCAUCGAUAUAUGCACAAUAUUGGAUUUUUGUUGUUGUAUGUGCCAAACAGGUUGGCGGAAUGUCAUGUUUGGUAUUUAUGAUACAUUUUUAUGUAUAUUUAUUUAAUUUAACAGAAACCUAUCUAUCACAUACAGUCAACUCUCAGCUGCCUAAGUCGAAUUUGCAUAAGAUGAAUGCAGGCCUAAGUCAAAGGUGUUAUGUUAGUCUUUUCUUUUUAUUUUCCAUUGUUUUGACCUUGCAUUAGUCGGAUCUGGACACUUUUAACGUAAAAAGAAUAUUUGUAUACCACUGUUUUUAGAAUUCUUACCCAAGAUUCCAGCAUUAGUACUAAUUGGUACCAGCGGUGACUGAUUUCAUAACCCACUGAUUGAGCCCAUGAAAAUUAUACAAAUUUCAUUUAUCUAUGCGCCCAAUACUUUGUGGUCUAAUAAUUAUUUUCCUGGCUGUAUUACUGUAACUAUUAUUUGCCGAAGAUAAACCGUUUCUUUUUUUAUAUGAACUAUGUGCUACAAUUCCCUUGCCUUCAGUUUAUUAGGAUGCACAUUUUUUUUCUACAUUUUCCUUUUUUAAUUUUUGUAUACCGGUAUAUAUAUAUUUUUUUAAUAUAUUUUUUAUAUCGAGGAUAAAACAAUAUCUCGACAUCAGCCAAAUUUUCAGGCAUCUUCUUGUGUAGGGUCCAUGCUUUUUCCAUGAUCAGCUGUACAAAUUCAUUGAUGUAUAUACCAUUAAAUUCAUGUUCCCAGAUCGUACACU